GUGGAGGAGAAUGCCCGGGG
rnacentral:miRNA from 1 species